rnacentral:rRNA from 1 species
AACGAACGUUGGCGGCGUGGAUUAGGCAUGCAAGUCGAACGCGUGAGAGGGGCUUGCUCCUCAAGCGAGUGGCGAACGGGUGAGUAACGCGUGGGAAACCUGCCCCGAAGCGUGGAAUAACACUCCCAACGGGGUGCUAAUACCGCAUGGUAUCGCCGGGUGGCAUCAUUUGGCGAUUAAAGGUGGGGACCGUAAGGCCUGCCACUUUGGGAUGGUCCCGCGUCUGAUUAGCUUGUUGGUGAGGUAACGGCUCACCAAGGCGACGAUCAGUAGCUGGU